rnacentral:tRNA from 1 species
ACGGUGCUAGAUCAAUAGAAGAACACCUUCCUUACAAGCAGGAGGUUGGUGGUUUGAUUCCUCUGUGCCCUA